rnacentral:rRNA from 1 species
GACGAACGCUGGCGGCGUGCUUAACACAUGCAAGUCGUACGGUAAGGCCCUUUCGGGGGUACACGAGUGGCGAACGGGUGAGUAACACGUGAGUAACCUGCCCACAACUUUGGGAUAACGCUAGGAAACUGGUGCUAAUACUGGAUAUGUGCUCCUGCUGCAUGGUGGGGGUUGGAAAGCUCCGGCGGUUGUGGAUGGACUCGCGGCCUAUCAGCUUGUUGGUGGGGUAGUGGCCUACCAAGGCGGCGACGGGUAGCCGGCCUGAGAGGGUGACCGGCCACAUUGGGACUGAGAUACGGCCAAGACUCCUACGGGAGGAAGCAGUGGGGAAUAUUGCACAAUGGGCGCAAGCCUGAUGCAGCAACGCCGCGUGCGGGAUGACGGCCUUCGGGUUGUAAACCGCUUUCAGCAGGGACGAAGCUUUUUGUGACGGUACCUGCAGAAGAAGCACCGGCUAACUACGUG